UAACAUCGAAGUAAUAAAUUACAUUUAGUUUCGACCUAAAAUUAGAGAUUGAAAUCCUCCAUGUUUU
rnacentral:tRNA from 1 species